CGGAAUUGAAGUUAAACCAAUCGAAGAAAAUAAGUUUCGUCGAAGUUCAAAAUUUAUUUAAAUGGAAUACGUUCCGAGCUAUAAUAUCUCGUAUUUUUGGACUAGAAAAUUUAAUCGUCCAACAUGAGCAAAUUUACCCGAGUCCGGAAAAAUUCGAUCUUAUCCAAGGAUGAAAAUCAAGAACUCGAUGUAUACAAGGAAUGAAGUCCCGAAAAGAUUUAAGACGAAAAAGUGUGCCGACGAUGAUUGAAAAUAAUAUUUUAUGUGUGGCAAAUGAGGUUAUGGACUAGUGUUAUAUAACAUGGCCAUGACAAUGGGCAUAAGGAAUGCAUGUUUAAGUAAAUCGAGACUAAGAAAUUAAUUAUGUGUGUAGUUGGUUAAAUUGGAUUUUAGUGGGUGAUUUAAUUAGUGGAUUUGGGAAUAAUAAUUAGUACGGAUUUUAUCUAGCAUGUGGCAGCAAGAGGAAUCAAUAUGAAAGGUGGCACCACAUGAAAGCAAUAUAGAUAUAGGUGGCACAAUUUGAAAACAAAUGGCAAGGUAUUAACUAAGUGGGGCCUACAUCCCAUGAAUUGUUGCAAUUCUACUUUAAUGUUGGAUGAGAUUUGUAUCUCAUAAGGAACAUCUCGGUGGCAGCAACGUUACAAUAAGAGAAAGGCGUAUACAUAUGUGUUAUUCAUCUAAAUCGUGGGACUUUCUUACGAGGAUAUGGCAGCAACCUUUUCCAAAUAUGAAGUAAUAGUUAACUAUCCCUCUUGAGAAUACUUCAUAGGCAUCAAGUAAGAAUGGAGCAGCAACGUUUGACUGUAUAUAUAGAGAUAUACAUAUAUAUAUUUCCAUCUCAAUCUAUGAAGGAAGGGCAGCAAUGUUUGAAGGGAGAAAAUCCUAUUUCGCUGAAGCAAAACGCGAAAAACGAAAAAAAGGUUAUACCCCACAUCGGUUUCCUCCACAUAAUAGCAAAUCGGAGAUUUCUUCAAAGAGAAGUAAGGUGGAAGAGGAAUAGUUCUUGGCAUAUAUGGCUAAAGGAGCGACGAAGUAAGCUUGGUUGUGGUUGAUCUACGACAGGGGGCUGCGUUUCAUGCCCGCAGGUACAGAUAGUUGGUUUGGCGACCCUUCAGCAUAGGAUUUCUACUCAGCUGUUCUGGAGAGCUCCGUUGUUCCGGAGUCUAGACCUUUGGUUCAGAUCUUAUAGUGUAUAUGUAUAUGUUUAUCCAGGGGUACGGCGGGGCCUUGUCCCGUCAUAUUUCGCUAUCGAUACUCUUAAAGGUCUGUAGACAUAUGUGUGGGUUAUGUAUCGAUGUUGUUCAGUUGUGUCUAUCUGGCUUAUGUUUUGGGACGUUCCCAUUCGUAGUGGCAGCCUUGUCGGCUUGCGUAGAUAUAUAUAUAUAUAUAUAUAUGUUUUGAGAAGUAAUGUAUUAUGAUAGCCUUGUCGGCUCGUUUAUGGCAGGGAUGUUCCCUUAUAUAUUAUGAAAGCCUUGUCGGCUUAUGUA